rnacentral:lncRNA from 1 species
UGAUUUUAAAUUCACCACCUUUCCUUGCUUAGGCAUCCUCUUGGCACGAGGGACCUGCUGUACAAAGAGGGCAAGCUCAUAUGCACUCACCUUAAACUGUGACUUAUUUGUACUUAGAAAAGAUGAGCAUGUUAAGGAAACCUGUGACAAAACCCAGCAAAGCACACUGCCUGCAACCUCCAAGAAGAGCUCUGCUAAGGGACAACUCUGUGGCCUUGGAGACGUUUGCUGGGGACACAGCCCUGCCAUGACAGGAAGAUAAACGGAGGAACUCACUACACUGAGCAGAAGCAAUCUGCUCACAGUAACCCAAACCCACGCAGUGUUUCAUUUUGAGCUAAACUCUACAGGAGUAGCAUGGAGAACAAAAACAGCUUUUUGCCUUUAGCUUUUCAUUUCCAAGGACUCAAAGCAUACAGUCAUUAAUAUAUUAUUGAUUAGAUGCUGAUUCUGGCAUGGUGGAAGCAGCAGUUACAAUUUUCCAGAAGCCAGUUAACAUCCGUUCUUCCUCUGAGGCUGGUUGAAAGCUUGUCGCCAGGCUUCCAUCCAAGACAGAAGCAAUUGAUUCGAAGUGCUAAUAUUCCCAGGAUUUUAAACAGUGGCAAAGCUCAUUGGUGAAGAAUACAGCUCUGGGUUCUUUUCCAGUUGUGGUAAGCGGCUCUAUUCUUGGUUGACAGGCCUUUUGUAAUCUGUAUGUGACUUAAAUCUGGAAAUGAAAUAUAAAAUGAAGCCCUUGUUAUGGGCACAGAGGAAACAGUAUCUAUUUAUGGGAAGCUUUGGUCAAAGGCAUUUUUAGCUCCCUCUGAG